UUUUAAAGAGAGUUUGAUCCUGGCUCAGGACGAACGCUGGCGGCGUGCCUAAUACAUGCAAGUCGAACGGAACGGAGGAAGAGCUUGCUCUUCC
rnacentral:rRNA from 1 species